UGGGGUGGAGCUUAGUUGGGAGAGCGCCUGACUGUUAAUCAGGAGGUCGCUGGUUCGAAUCCAGCCGCCCCAG
rnacentral:tRNA from 1 species